rnacentral:lncRNA from 1 species
AGUUACUGCCACCCUCUCCCAGGUCUAGAGAGGGGUACCCACGGUGGAGGGAGGUGGGAGGCCGAGACGGCCCCGGGGGUCGGCGGAGACCCAGCGGGAGCAGGGGGAAAUCGGAAGAGCUGGGGGCAUGGAGCGGGCGAGUUUGGAGCGGAAUGAGCCGGGAGCCCUACGUUGUGGAAGGAAGACAACAGUAUAGGACCAUCAGCAGGACCGGACAGAGAGGGGCACCCCUGGCUGUCCUGGAACUUGUAGACCAGGCUGGCCUUGAACUCAGAAAUCCGCCUGCCUCUGACUCCCGAGUGCUGAGAUUAAAGGUGUGCACCACCACACCCGACAAGGAAGCCUGUUUUAAGAAGUGAUUCCAUGGAGGAGUUCUGCGGCGGCUCAGGGCUUGACUAAACAGUGGACCUCAGACAAGAGAGGCUAAACCAGGCUGCAGGUGACAGGAAGAAUUGAAUAAACUGAAAGCAAAGGGCAGCCUUCUAAUUACGCUUCGUGGCUAUGUGGACAACCUGGAGAAGUCUGGAAACAAAGAAGCCAGAAGCCCGAAGCCAGCAGUAGAGCUCUGACUGGCUUGUAUGCCUAGAAAGGAAGGGCUCUUCUUUCGCCUCACGGGCACAAAUGGGACCCACGAGCGCCGAUUUCAGACUAUUCUGAUCCCUUCAAAAAGAAAGUUAGGAGUCCAGGCUACUGUGAGUGAAUUUGAUUCUAAUUGUUUCAGAGAAUAUGGAAUAAAAUAUCUCAUUUGCAGUUGUUUA